UACGAGAGGCGCAAACGUUAUUUCGGAUUUACUGGGCUUUAAAGAGUUCGUAGGCGGCGCAGAAAGUAGGUGUGAAGCCUCGGCUUAACCGAGGAAUUGCGCUCUAACUAACUGUGCUCGAGGACCUAGAGUGAGCGGACUGAUGUGAGCGUGAAUGCGUGAGAUAUGCGAGACACGAUGCGAGCAUCCCCCUGGGGGCGC
rnacentral:rRNA from 1 species